AGCCAUGCAUGUCUAAGUAUAAGCAAUUAUACAGCGAAACUGCGAAUGGCUCAUUAUAUAAGUUAUCGUUUAUUUGAUAGUACCUUACUACUUGGAUAACCGUGGUAAUUCUAGAGCUAAUACAUGCUAAAAAUCCCGACUUCGGAAGGGAUGUAUUUAUUAGAUUAAAAACCAAUGCCCUCUGGGCUCCUUGGUGAUUCAUGAUAACUCUUCGAAUCGCACGGCCUUGCGCCGGCGAUGGUUCAUUCAAAUUUCUUCCCUAUCAACUUUCGAUGUUUGGGUAUUGGCCAAACAUGGUUGCAACGGGUAACGGAGGGUUAGGGCUCGACCCCGGAGAAGGAGCCUGAGAAACGGCUACUACAUCCAAGGAAGGCAGCAGGCGCGCAAAUUACCCAAUCCCGAUUCGGGGAGGUAGUGACAAUAAAUACUGAUACAGGGCUCUUUUGGGUCUUGUAAUUGGAAUGAGUACAAUUUAAAUCUCUUAACGAGGAACAAUUGGAGGGCAAGUCUGGUGCCAGCAGCCGCGGUAAUUCCAGCUCCAAUAGCGUAUAUUAAAGUUGUUGUGGUUAAAAAGCUCGUAGUUGAACCUUGGGCCUGGCUGGCCGGUCCGCCUCACCGCGUGCACUGGUCCGGCCGGGCCUUUCCCUCUGUGGAACCCCAUGCCCUUCACUGGGCGUGGCGGGGAAACAGGACGUUUACUUUGAAAAAAUUAGAGUGCUCCAGGCAGGCCUAUGCUCGAAUACAUUAGCAUGGAAUAAUGAAAUAGGACGCGUGGUUCUAUUUUGUUGGUUUCUAGGACCGCCGUAAUGAUUAAUAGGGACAGUCGGGGGCAUCAGUAUUCAAUUGUCAGAGGUGAAAUUCUUGGAUUUAUUGAAGACUAACUACUGCGAAAGCAUUUGCCAAGGAUGUUUUCAUUAAUCAGGAACGAAAGUUAGGGGAUCGAAGACGAUCAGAUACCGUCGUAGUCUUAACCAUAAACUAU
rnacentral:rRNA from 1 species